UUUUUUUUGAUAAACCCUAUCGGCUGAUCCGGUCAGCUCCGGUAGAAACGCACCGAAGUACUUCAGAGUAGACUUCUUCCCGAAGGACCACCACACUGUCUGUCCCGAGUUUGGAUGCUUUCCGACUAAUGCCAGGGGGUAGUCAGGCCGCCUGCAUUUCUGACUACCAGGUAAACCAAUUGGGCCAAAGCCCAACUGACAGACUUCCCAAACAAAUGUGAUUUUUGUUUUCAGGGAGGAUCGAACCCAGGUCUGGAAGUUUUACCCUUUCCCAAAUCUAGUCCAGAUAAGUGUCGAGCCAAGAAAUUCUCCGAUAAGGGCAAGCCAAGUGGUGUAAGAGUAAGGUCGACAUGUACAAAAUAAGUGAUCUUUAGUUUUGUUACGCUCUCUACAAAAACACAGCCUUUUUUUUUCCGCACUCUUAUACGAUUACAUGUAGACAAUCUAGUGUUUAGAGCAAGCCACACAAU
rnacentral:sRNA from 1 species